rnacentral:lncRNA from 1 species
GCCUUGGGUGAGGUGGCUCUCACUGGCAGAGGCUGUCUCUACAGCCGGCUGCCAGGGAUUUCCCCAUGGCCUCAAAAUGACCACCUCAGGCCUGGGUCCUGGGAUUUUCUUCCCAGUGGUCGGAAGUUUUGCUGGGAAGAGAGAGUCCUGGUUCCAUCCUCCCAGGCCUUGUGGUCUGGGGUUUCUGCCAGAUGUGAGAUGCUGAUUGUCUUCUCUGGGUCUCUGUGUCCUCCAUCUACCACGUAGGAUGAAUCAAUCCUGCCCUGCCUGUUCUGAGGCCCAGACAAGGAGGCGGUGAAAAGACCCUGUCUUCUGCGAAGGGCUCUGCAUUCAUUCCCCUACUGCUGUUAGAGCUGUUCUGCCCCUGGGGAGGAGCGCAGACCUUGAAGUAGAAGGUUAUUCUUCUCAACUAAGUCCCGGCUCCAGGAGGGAAGGAGGUGGAAACCUACUCGGGACUCUAGAGAGCAAACCCCCUCAGAAGCAGCCCAGGUUUGACAGGUUUGGGAGGCCUGGCUGAGGAAAGCCCGAGGCCCAGGCUUCCCGGACCCCCUCUGAGAAGGCUCUGGAUGUGGGGGUUUGGAGCCCCUGUCUGCUCCCUGAGAUGUGGCAGGGCCCCUGGCAGGAGCCGUGGCAAACACUGGAGACAAUCUGGCUGCUCAUAAUAGGCGAUGGAUAAAAACAUGAUGGUGAAGUCUGAUGGGACCAUGGAGCCUCAGCUCAUAGUGAGCCAGAAUUAAUCAGGCCCCGGCUUACCUGAUACAGAGGAGACAUUCUGGAGUCCCAGUGCCCAGGAAAGAAGACGGGAGGCAGUAGCAGAGCCUGGGAGAGAUGGCCUGAGGAUGUUGUGAUGGAAGACUGUAUAUGAUCAUAUGCACUGCUGUCCAGUCUGCAGAGCCAUGUGGGGGCAAGAAGCAGAGGCAAGGAGCUGCCUGCAUGUGGGCUCUGCUUCUCUAUCCCUCACUCCGUCUCCUCCGCUGCAAAAAGAGGACAGCAAUAGC